UGGGGAAUAUUGCACAAUGGAGGGAACUCUGAUGCAGCGACGCCGCGUGAACGAAGAAGGCUUUCGAGUCGUAAAGUUCUUUUAUAUGGGAAGAUAAUGACGGUACCAUAAGAAGAAGCCCCGGCUAACUACGUGCCAGCAGCCGCGGUAAUACGUAGGGGGCUAGCGUUGUCCGGAAUCACUGGGCGUAAAGGGUUCGCAGGCGGAAAUGCAAGUCAGGUGUAAAAGGCAGUAGCUUAACUACUGUAAGCAUUUGAAACUGCAUAUCUUGAGAAGAGUAGAGGUAAGUUGAAUUUUUAGUGUAGCGGUGAAAUGCGUAGAUAUUAAAAAGAAUACCGGUGGCGAAGGCGACUUACUGGGCUCAUUCUGACGCUGAACAACGAAAGCGUGGGUAGCAAACAGG
rnacentral:rRNA from 1 species